ensembl:scaRNA
UGGGAGGCUGAUGCACAGAUUGGGUUGAAAGACUGCUCUAAUUGUCACCAUUCCUCCCUAGAGUAAAAGUACCUUUUGAUGACAGGAACAAAUUGAGAGAAAUCAUAACAGACAGAUACAGGACAGACAAUU